GCCUGGCUCGUUCUAUCAGUAGAGCAUGUGACUCUUGAUCUCUGGGUCAUGAGUUCAAGCCCCAUGUUAGGCA
rnacentral:tRNA from 1 species